rnacentral:sRNA from 2 species
CACCUUAUAUCGCUUAAUCUGUAAGGAGUGGGGGACCCAAUUUUUGUGCUUUGUCACUAGGGGUGAAUCCUUUUAAAAAGGUAGGGCUACUCUAAAGGCCCGAAUCCGACAGCUAACCUCAUCAGCGUUUAUAGAGAAGGUUU